AAGGAUGACUCCUGAGAACCUAUAAUGUGGUUGGCUGACUUCUUAGAUAAGCAGAAGGGCUGGACAACUGUGUCAAGUCCAGCGCACUGCAGACGGUCUGGUCGUGGUCUAUUGAAACAAGUUCGGCAUCCUCCCCAGAUCCUUGUUACAGAAACAAAGCCCCUGGAGGAAAUAAAAAUAAUUCACUUUGGAAAACAUUCUGCUGAUUCUCCAAAAGCACAGUUAGCAUAUGAGCCAGCGGGUCCGAUCUCAGUGCAUGCCAAUUGUUCUGAAAGCACAUGCCCGCAUGAACAAAGUUCAGAGAAAAACCAUCCAUUCACAAUAGCCCCAAGAUGGAAACAACCCAAAUGCGUGAACCAGCUGAUAAAGAGAUGGCGGAGUAGGGCAGGGGUCACAGUGGUCACCCUCUUGCCUUAGCUGCACAUACUGGGAUGCCUAGCCUCCUGUGGUGUUCGGCCCCAGCUGGAGCCCCGCACUAGAGCGCGUUGGCAUUCUGCUUCGGAGAAGCUGCUUGAAAAUUUCAGCAUAGAAGUUAACAAGGAAAGGAUGGAAUUGGAAGGUCAGAUGUCUGCGUCUGAUUGAAGGGGACCGUCACGCUACUGUCCCCAUUUCUUCCCAGCUAGUUACCAGUGUCCCUGCAACUCAGGAGGAGUUCCCUCGCGAGCCGAUAGGGGGCGCCUUCUCCAUGUUCCUCUGCUGCACCCAGCUUCUGACGAAGGAGAGAGCAGGUGGCAGUCCCAUUGGACAGACACCUGAGCCUCAGAGGCCGUAUCUGACCUGCCUGAAGCCACAGUCCUCAGUACAUCAGUCCUCAGUACAGUUGAGAUCGGAAGUCCCAGCCAAGACAGAAACCCUUUGCCUCAGGAUGGACCCUUUAUGAUUUUGAGGCAGGAUGGAAAGUCAGACAACUUUGGGAACAUGGGAAGAGAAAGGAGAAGCUUCUGGAUGACCUUUCUCACCUGACCUGAGGACCAAGAAUUCCAAAAUGCCUUACACCUUUCUCAUUCCUCGGAUGUAAACCUGGGGAUCUCUAGGGAUCCAUCAGAAACCCCGUUUGCAACAAAAUACAUGGUUUAACUUUUGUAUUACCCUAGUUAUACUGAUUUUAUUUCAUCAGAUUGGAAUCCUACCCAAGGAUUCUAAAUGUGAACUAAUGGAUGCAGUUUGGUAACCCACAAAAGUAACGCCACACGUUCUGGAGGAGAAGACGUAUCUCAUCAGAGGAUGACAAUCCGUGAGCCAUGGGGAUCAAUGGGAACUCCGAGUGACCAGUAUUCCUUGAGAACACAGACCAUCUCUGGUCACCUCUGGGUAAAACUGCCCAUUUUAACCAAUCAAUUGAUUAAUUUGGUUUGCGCGUGGAUGUGUGCCCAUUGGCGAGGUCAUGCAUGUGUAGAGGCUAGAGGUGGAUUUCAGGCAUCCUCCUCAAUCACUUUCCACUUUCUUUUUUCUUUGUUGAGGCUGUCUCACUAAAUCUAAAACCCACUGUUUAGUUAGACAGGCUGGCCUGCAACCCCAGGAAAUGCUUGUCUCUUCCCCUAGUUCUGGGGUUACAGGCAUGCAACAUGCCUGGCUUUUAACUGCAUGCUGGGAUGCAAGCUUAGGACUUCACACGUGUGCAUCCACAUCUUACACACGGAGCCAUUUCCCAGCUGGGAACACCAUAUUUGAUGCAGGCUGACUGGUUCCCCUCAAGCUUCUAAUUGGUGCUCACAACCAGAUAGACUUCUGACUGCUGAAGCCGUAUCUUGCUUGUACCACUCCGAGAACCAUCUCACCAGCCACAGAGUCAAUAGUUUAAAAACAUGGACUGGAGAGAUGGCUCAGUGACUAAGAGCACUGACUGUUCUUCCGGUCCUGAGUUCAAUUCCCAGCAACCAC
rnacentral:sRNA from 1 species